rnacentral:rRNA from 1 species
CAUGGUUGUCGUCAGCUCGUGUCGUGAGAUGUUGGGUUAAGUCCCGCAACGAGCGCAACCCUCGACCUUAGUUGCCAGCAUUCAGUUGGGCACUCUAAGGUGACUGCCGGCUAAAAGUCGGAGGAAGGUGGGGAUGACGUCAAAUCAUCAUGCCCCUUAUGACCUGGGCUACACACGUGCUACAAUGGGCGGUACAAAGGGUCGCGAACCCGCGAGGGGGGAGCCAAUCCCAAAAAGUCGCUCUCAGUUCGGAUUGCAGGCUGCAACUCGCCUGCAUGAAGCCGGAAUCGCUAGUAAUCGCGGAUCAGCAUGCCGCGGUGAAUACGUUCCCGGGCCUU